rnacentral:lncRNA from 1 species
AUGCAAAUCCCGAACCUCCAUUAUGAAUUAUUAUUUUUGAUCAAAGAAGGGCUUCCCCCUUCCGAUUUUCAUUACUGAAAACUCACUGUAGAACCAUUAAGAUGAAUGGACGGGUACUCCUUUCAUGGUUUACGGCAAUCAGAAAUGAAAAUAAUAAGAAAGAUAAAAUCAGUAGCAACCGACCGACAAGUGUGUCCGUGGGCAACCAAUCGAGACCGCAUUUGACCGACCCUCACCGUCAGGGCAGUAUAUUCCAACAACCUGCAAGAUUUCAUACUCGCCUGUUAUAAAAAAAAAAGCAGAUUUCAUACUCACAUCCAGGGAACAUAAAUGUUAUCACAGAGGAUCGAUAACCAACCCUACCUAGAUAACGCCUGGAUCAUGUCGUGCUCAGGCCAGAGAUGCGUCAUCCAUACUCUGUU